rnacentral:tRNA from 1 species
GGGGAUGUAGCUCAGUGGGAGAGUGCUUGCUUCAUGUAUAAGAGCCUCUGGGUUCAAUUGCCAGCAUCUCCA